rnacentral:rRNA from 1 species
UAAUCUUCCCUUGAGCGGGGGACAACGUUUCGAAAGGAACGCUAAUACCGCAUAAGUUUCCGAGGCCUCUGGGUCUUGGAAGGAAAGCUAGGUCGCAAGAUCCGGCACUCGAGGAGGAGCCUGCGUCGCAUCAGCUAGUUGGUGGGGUAAUGGCCUACCAAGGCGAAGACGCGUAGCUGGUCUGAGAGGAUGAUCAGCCACACUGGGACUGAGACACGGCCCAG